rnacentral:rRNA from 1 species
ACGCUAGCUACAGGCUUAACACAUGCAAGUCGAGGGGCAUCAGGAAGAAAGCUUGCUUUCUUUGCCGGCGACCGGCGCACGGGUGAGUAACACGUAUCCAACCUGCCCUUUACUCGGGGAUAGCCUUUCGAAAGAAAGAUUAAUACCCGAUAGCAUAAUGAUUCCGCAUGGUUUCAUUAUUAAAGGAUUCCGGUAAAGGAUGGGGAUGCGUUCCAUUAGGUUGUUGGUGAGGUAACGGCCCACCAAGCCUUCGAUGGAUAGGGGUUCUGAGAGGAAGGUCCCCCACAUUGGAACUGAGACACGGUCCAAACUCCUACGGGAGGCAGCAGUGAGGAAUAUUGGUCAAUGGGCGCUAGCCUGAACCAGCCAAGUAGCGUGAAGGAUGAAGGCUCUAUGGGUCGUAAACUUCUUUUAUAUAAGAAUAAAGUGCAGUAUGUAUACUGUUUUGUAUGUAUUAUAUGAAUAAGGAUCGGCUAACUCCGUGCCAGCAGCCGCGGUAAUACGGAGGAUCCGAGCGUUAUCCGGAUUUAUUGGGUUUAAAGGGAGCGUAGGUGGACUGGUAAGUCAGUUGUGAAAGUUUGCGGCUCAACCGUAAAAUUGCAGUUGAUACUGUCAGUCUUGAGUACAGUAGAGGUGGGCGGAAUUCGUGGUGUAGCGGUGAAAUGCUUAGAUAUCACGAAGAACUCCGAUUGCGAAGGCAGCUCACUGGACUGCAACUGACACUGAUGCUCGAAAGUGUGGGUAUCAAACAGGAUUAGAUACCCUGGUAGUCCACACAGUAAACGAUGAAUACUCGCUGUUUGCGAUAUACAGUAAGCGGCCAAGCGAAAGCAUUAAGUAUUCCACCUGGGGAGUACGCCGGCAACGGUGAAACUCAAAGGAAUUGACGGGGGCCCGCACAAGCGGAGGAACAUGUGGUUUAAUUCGAUGAUACGCGAGGAACCUUACCCGGGCUUAAAUUGCAGUGGAAUGAUGUGGAAACAUGUCAGUGAGCAAUCACCGCUGUGAAGGUGCUGCAUGGUUGUCGUCAGCUCGUGCCGUGAGGUGUCGGCUUAAGUGCCAUAACGAGCGCAACCCUUAUCUUCAGUUACUAACAGGUCAUGCUGAGGACUCUGGAGAGACUGCCGUCGUAAGAUGUGAGGAAGGUGGGGAUGACGUCAAAUCAGCACGGCCCUUACGUCCGGGGCUACACACGUGUUACAAUGGGGGGUACAGAAGGCAGCUAGCGGGUGACCGUAUGCUAAUCCCAAAAUCCUCUCUCAGUUCGGAUCGAAGUCUGCAACCCGACUUCGUGAAGCUGGAUUCGCUAGUAAUCGCGCAUCAGCCACGGCGCGGUGAAUACGUUCCCGGGCCUUGUACACACCGCCCGUCAAGCCAUGGGAGCCGGGGGUACCUGAAGUACGUAACCGCAAGGAUCGUCCUAGGGUAAAACUGGUGACUG